rnacentral:lncRNA from 1 species
GUCGGUUUUAUGCUAGGUGUUGUCAUGCUCUGGCUUACUUUAAAAAAAAAUUGGCGCUCAUGCUUGCAAUCCAACUUUGGAUUGGAUUGCAAUCUCACUUUGGGAGGCUGAGGUGGGAGGAUUGUUUGAGGACAGGAGUUUGAGAGCAGCCUGGGCAACAUAGAGAGACCCCGUCUCGACAAAGAAUAAAAUAAUGAGCCAGGCAUGAUGGCGUACGCGUGUAGUCCCAGCUACUCAGGGGGCUGAGGUGGGAGAAUCGCUUGAGCACCGGAGGUUGAUGCUGCCGUGAGCUGUGAUCACGCCACUGCACUCCAGCCUGGGCAGCAAAGUAAGACUCUGUCUCAAAAAAGUAAUAAAAGUUGGUAUAAAAGGCACAUAAGAUAAAAUUCACCAUUUUAGUGAUUUUAAAGUGUUUAAUUCAGUAGAUUCACAACGUUGUGCAGCCAUCACCACUUUCUAAUUCCAGAACUUCAUCACCCCCAAAACAGGCUCACUUUCAUCACCCCAAAAAGAGACUCUUAGUCUAUGCACAGUCACGCCACGUCCUCCCUCCCCCCAGCCCCUGACAACCACUUUCUGUGUCUGUGGAUUCGCCUAUUCUGGGUAUUUCAUAUCUAUGGAAUCCUACAAGCCUUUUGUGAUGGUUUCUUUCCCUCAGCAGAAUGUUUUCAGUUCAUCCACGUCGGAGUGUGGGCCAGCACUUCAUCCCUUGCCAUGGCUGAGGAAUAGUCCAUCACGUGGACAGACAACAAUUUAUUUCUCCAUGCAUCAGGUGACAGACAUUUGGGUGGUUCCCACCUGACUCACUUCAUGAAAGAAUAUCUCUGGGCCCCAUGUGGAGGCUCAAAAGAGCAGAGCUGGGAGACCAGGGAGGAUGUAGCUGCAGGAAUCCCAGGAAUGCAGGUGAGGGCUGGAGGCGGUUGCCCUGCAGGUGAGUGAUGGGAGAGGCCAGAGGGGCCAGCGAGGUGUGGGUCUGGAGCCAGCAGAUCAUGUUUUCUGUCUGUCCUUCCUCCACGACGAUGUACUCUUUAGGAGCCGAGUGACGAUGACCUGUGGAUGAGCAGCCUGGGAUGCCCCUGUCCCCAGCCUCUUCAACCUGACACAAGUUUGCAUUCUAUGCUCUCUUUCUUUGGAACAAGGAUUGACUCCUAAGUGGCAUCUGGAGAAGGCCGAGCUUCCUGCAGGGACCUGAAGAGGGUUUUUAGAAACAGAAACGGAGUCAUCAGAUUGCUCACAGUGGCCAAAUCUUGCCCUAAAGUCAAAGCUCUGAAGCACUGCACUAAAGAGCUCUUGGAACACCCGUGGAUUCCCAAGGAAAGGAAUGGAUAAAGUUGUGAGCAACAGAGGUGGUGGCCGUGGGGGCGGGUGCCCAGGGGAGAAGGCAGCCAUUUCCUUUGUCUUUCCUCUAUUCUUCCUGGAUGCAAUUUUCCACCCAGGUUUUCUCUGUUGGGUGAAAUCUCUGCCCAAGGAGGGGGCUGCAGCUCUCCCUGACCCAGGGCAGGCGGCUCACUUUUCCUCUGCCAACAGGGCCUGACAGCAAAGGCUGCUCAGACAGCCAGGGAGGGCAUCUUUGCAGGGUUCUGAGAUGGAGGCUGUAUUUCUCAGAGCAAAUCCCCUUGCUCUGUUUCUUUCAGAAGCCAUGAUGACCUUGUUGAAUCCAGCCAUUCUGCAAGUGCCUGUUUUGACUUUAGGGAUGGAAGUCCUUCCAGGCAUGCCAAGAGGGAAGGAAACAUGGCAGGUGCACUGGCUUUGAAGUUGCCGUGGUGGUUGCAAUCCUGCAUCUGUCUGUUCCUGAUGGGGUGACCUCAGGCAAGUUGCUUGGCCUCCCUGAAUCCCAGUUUUCUAGUGUGCAAGAUGGGGACCAUAUUGCCUUGGGGAUGACUUCAAGGACUGAGAGAGGUAUUUUUUUUUCUUUGAGACAAAGGCCUUGCUCUGUCACCCAAACCGGACAGCAGUGGUGCAAUCACAGCUCACUGCAGCCUCAACCUCCUGGGCUCAAGGGAUCCUCUCACUGCAGCCUCCUGAGUAGCUGGGACUGCAGGCAUGAGCACCAUGCCUGGCUAAUUUUUCAAUUUUUUGUAGAGAUGGAGUCUCACUGUAUUACCCAGUCUAGAGGGAGAUAAAUUCUAAGCUUAGUACAGCACCUGGCUUAUAUGAAGAACUCAGUAAUCAGUGAUAUUUACUUCAUGUAUUUAUAGUUCCUAACAUGGGUGUUUAGUCAGCCUCCCUUUUGCCACAUCUUCCAACUGUUCAGAUAUC